rnacentral:rRNA from 1 species
UACGGAGGGGCAAGCGUUGUUCGGAAUUACUGGGCGUAAAGGGCGCGCAGGCGGCUGCUCAAGUCAGGCGUGAAAGGCCUGGGCUCAACCCGGGAAUUGCGCUUGAGACUGGGCUGGCUUGAGUGCGGGAGAGGAUGGUGGAAUUCCCAGUGUAGAGGUGAAAUUCGUAGAUAUUGGGAAGAGCACCGGUGGCGAAGGCGGCCAUCUGGACCGCAACUGACGCUGAGGCGCGAAAGCGUGGGAGCAAACAGG